GACGAACGCUGGCGGCGUGCCUAAUACAUGCAAGUCGAACGCACGAAGUUGAAGAGCUUGCUCUUUAACCAAGUGAGUGGCGGACGGGUGAGUAACACGUGGGUAACCUACCCAUUAGAGGGGGAUAACAUUCGGAAACGGAUGCUAAUACCGCAUAGUUUCAGGAAUCGCAUGAUUCGUGAAGGAAAGGUGGCUUCGGCUACCACUAAUGGAUGGACCCGCGGCGUAUUAGCUAGUUGGUGAGGUAAUGGCUCACCAAGGCAAUGAUACGUAGCCGACCUGAGAGGGUGAUCGGCCACACUGGGACUGAGACACGGCCCAGACUCCUACGGGAGGCAGCAGUAGGGAAUCUUCCGCAAUGGACGAAAGUCUGACGGAGCAACGCCGCGUGAGUGAAGAAGGUUUUCGGAUCGUAAAACUCUGUUGUUAAAGAAGAACAAGGAUGAGAGUAACUGCUCAUCCCCUGACGGUAUUUAACCAGAAAGCCACGGCUAACUACGUGCCAGCAGCCGCGGUAAUACGUAGGUGGCAAGCGUUGUCCGGAUUUAUUGGGCGUAAAGCGAGCGCAGGCGGUUCUUUAAGUCUGAUGUGAAAGCCCCCGGCUCAACCGGGGAGGGUCAUUGGAAACUGGAGAACUUGAGUGCAGAAGAGGAGAGUGGAAUUCCACGUGUAGCGGUGAAAUGCGUAGAUAUGUGGAGGAACACCAGUGGCGAAGGCGACUCUCUGGUCUGUACUGACGCUGAGGCGCGAAAGUUGAGGAGCAAAUAGG
rnacentral:rRNA from 1 species